UUUUAAAUAGAAAUGCAGUACCUUCGCAGAAGAGUCAAACGACUGAGACUGAGAACAUUCAAGAUAAUGUGGUACAACCACCAACUGUACCACCAGUUCUUCCGAUCGAACAAACAGUUACAAAUGAAGACUCGAAUCCUUAAUAUGUUGCGUAGCAUUGUUAUUACUACUUGGAUUUG